rnacentral:rRNA from 1 species
UGGCAGCUUACACAUGCAGUCGAGCGGUAACAGGGGGUGCUUGCACCCCGCUGACGAGCGGCGGACGGGUGAGUAAUGCAUAGGAAUCUGCCCAGUAGUGGGGGAUAGCCCGGGGAAACCCGGAUUAAUACCGCAUACGCCCUUUGGGGGAAAGCAGGGGAUCUUCGGACCUUGCGCUAUUGGAUGAGCCUAUGUCGGAUUAGCUAGUUGGUGGGGUAAAGGCCUACCAAGGCGACGAUCCGUAGCUGGUCUGAGAGGAUGAUCAGCCACAUCGGGACUGAGACACGGCCCGAACUCCUACGGGAGGCAGCAGUGGGGAAUAUUGGACAAUGGGGGCAACCCUGAUCCAGCCAUGCCGCGUGUGUGAAGAAGGCUUUCGGGUUGUAAAGCACUUUCAGUGAGGAGGAAAACCUUCUGGUUAAUACCCAUGAGGCUUGACGUUACUCACAGAAGAAGCACCGGCUAACUCCGUGCCAGCAGCCGCGGUAAUACGGAGGGUGCAAGCGUUAAUCGGAAUUACUGGGCGUAAAGCGCGCGUAGGUGGUUUGAUAAGCGAGAUGUGAAAGCCCCGGGCUUAACCUGGGAACGGCAUUUCGAACUGUCAGGCUAG